GGGCUUGUAGCUCAGCAGUAGAGCGCAACGUUCGCAACGUUGAGGCCGCGGGUGCGACUCCCGUCAAGUCCA
rnacentral:tRNA from 1 species